rnacentral:rRNA from 1 species
UGGGAGCUUGCUCCCUGAUGUUAGCGGCGGACGGGUGAGUAACACGUGGGUAACCUGCCUGUAAGACUGGGAUAACUCCGGGAAACCGGGGCUAAUACCGGAUGCUUGUUUGAACCGCAUGGUUCAAACAUAAAAGGUGGCUUCGGCUACCACUUACAGAUGGACCCGCGGCGCAUUAGCUAGUUGGUGAGGUAAUGGCUCACCAAGGCAACGAUGCGUAGCCGACCUGAGAGGGUGAUCGGCCACACUGGGACUGAGACACGGCCCAGACUCCUACGGGAGGCAGCAGUAGGGAAUCUUCCGCAAUGGACGAAAGUCUGACGGAGCAACGCCGCGUGAGUGAUGAAGGUUUUCGGAUCGUAAAGCUCUGUUGUUAGGGAAGAACAAGUACCGUUCGAAUAGGGCGGUACCUUGACGGUACCUAACCAGAAAGCCACGGCUAACUACGUGCCAGCAGCCGCGGUAAUACGUAGGUGGCAAGCGUUGUCCGGAAUUAUUGGGCGUAAAGGGCUCGCAGGCGGUUCCUUAAGUCUGAUGUGAAAGCCCCCGGCUCAACCGGGGAGGGUCAUUGGAAACUGGGGAACUUGAGUGCAGAAGAGGAGAGUGGAAUUCCACGUGUAGCGGUGAAAUGCGUAGAGAUGUGGAGGAACACCAGUGGCGAAGGCGACUCUCUGGUCUGUAACUGACGCUGAGGAGCGAAAGCGUGGGGAGCGAACAGGAUUAGAUACCCUGGUAGUCCACGCCGUAAACGAUGAGUGCUAAGUGUUAAGGGGGUUUCCGCCCCUUAGUGCUGCAGCUAACGC